CCCACAUAAAAUGGGGAUGCCUCUUUAAGAAACGGAGGUUAGGGAAGCUAGGUGGUCUACCUAGCCAAUAGGAAGUUUAGCUUCCAGUGAGUUUAAACCAAUCAGAAUUCGGACUGCCGCUGCAGGACCCGCCCUUCCGCAGCAUUGAGUGUGUAAGCGAGAGAGAUCCGGAAACGAUUAAGCUGGGCAGCGUGAAAGUCUCUGUUUUAAAACAGUUAUACAACUCUAAACAAACGCUUUCCCAGAUCAUCCGACUUCUAAGCUGGACGCGUGAAGUGAAAAAAAAGAAAAGGAAAGACAAGUUCACUUUUUCUGCUGAACACCGUUAGAGCUGACUCGUUAGCUCUAACGGCCAACGGCUACUGGUUUAGCUCCAACGGCUACUAGGCUAACGUUUUAAGUUCAUCUUGUUCUCCGUUCAGUUGAAGUGCCUCACGGGUCCGGACUGAGAGCCACCAUAUUGUUGUCCCUAACGUGUCGCAUUGAGAUCGGUCAGGUUUUUUUGUUUAUGCUGGAUUGUUCCUGAGGUGGAUUCCUCCUGUGACUUUGAUGGCGAGCCUUCCCACCUGGACUUAGAAAGAACUGGAUUCCUGGAUUCCUUCUUUUCCGUUUGGAGUCCUGCUGCACCCCGCGGUGUGUCAGGCUGGUACCACUCACAUCUUCACACACAGUUGGUUAGGAGUGAGACCACUGACUGACAUUUUUCUUUUUAUUGUUUAAUCCUGGAAUUUCUGAUCUCACCUUUUGGACUGGUUUUUAUUUGGUACUUUGUAACAAACUGCUGUGUAGGAAAUUCUCCUCAUGUGAAUGGUGUUGAGCUGAACCUAAUUGGAACUGGAAUUGAUUGAUCUGUUGCCUAUUACGAUUUAGAAUUCAGAUUACCAGGGUGCACCCAAAAGAUUCAAAACUGAGAACCAGCACUUGGCCAAGUAUUUGUAUUAUUUUUUUGUAUUUUAUUGUGUGUAAUUUUAUUUUCAUAAUUGUGUGUCUUGUAUAACUGUUUGUUAAUUUCAUGGUUUAUGUCACUAAAGCCAGUUGUUUUUUUAAAAUUCAUUUAACUGCC